AACUGUUAGGUCUGGCUUUUAAAACCCUUCAUAACCUGGCCCUUUUUCCAGUCUUCUUCCAUUUUUCUCCUCCCUGAGUAUACUCUCCAGUAAUGCUGUGGUAACCUCCUUGCUGUUCUUUGAAUAUGACACUCCAUCUUCCAAAAUUGGUCUUUUCACAGAGAGUCCAUGCCUUCCCCCCUUGUUUUGGUUUCCUGGCUGAGACUUGGCUCAUAUCCUACCUACUGCAAAAGCCCUUUCCCAAUCCUGUUCCCCCACCCACAUUCUAGAACCUUUCCUCUGAGAUGAUCUCCCCUUUACACUAUAUGUAUUGUUUGCACACAGCUAUUUGAUGUUGUCUUCCCAUUAGAACACGAGCUCUUUCAGGGCAAAGACCGUGUUUGCCUUUAUUUGUAUCCCAAGCACUUAACAUAGUGCCUGACCACAUAAUAAGGUGCAUAAUAAAUGCUUGUUGAUGAUUAAAUCACAGGGUUCCAUGAAGAUAUAGAUGGGGAAAGUGGUCCUCUGAAAGGGGCUGCGCUCCCAGACAGUAGAAUCCCUUUGCCUCUCCUUCUCAUCAACAGGUAAUGGCUUCAGUUCCAAGCUUCUCAUGUCAGAUGGAAAUGGCUGAAGAGGAAUUUCACCUCCGGGGUACACCGAGGCUGCCUAACAGCAAGCCAUAAGUGUGACAGGCUGUGGAGAUUUCAAGUUUCAGAUCCAUAGGAUUCCUGACCUAAAUCUCAAAGGGAUGUUAGAGCCUAUUUCAUCUAAGCCUCUCAUUUUACAGUCUCACUCUCCCAAAUGACUGGGAUCAAAUAAAUAGUACAAGAGGAAAGAAGAAACCACUGUCUUGACCUGGAUUGUUGUCCUGGUUUGAGUACUUAACUAGCUGUGUGACCCAGGACAAGCCACUUUUCCUCUCUGGACCUUUCUCUUCCUCUGUACUUUGAGAGGGGCUGGACAAAAUGAUUUCCAAGGUACCUUCCAUCUCUAUGAUUUCAUGAUCUUGUCUGUAGAAACCCUAAACUAGAAAAUUUCAGGCUUAGGGACAUGCAUGUGAAAAGUUACAAGUUAAGAGGAUGGCAAAAAAGUAAUGUCAGAUCUCUGGCCGAUACUAUAAGCCACAAGGAUACUUCCUCUCUCUUGGGAAGGUUAGGUCAGGGACUUAUGUGCCUUUCUCAGCAGCUUCUUCCAUCUGAGGUGUCCAAAAGCCUAUUUAGGAAUCUAAAUUCAUAGAAUUUAGGGCUAGAAGGGAUUUUAGCAAUCACCUAGGCCAAACCCCUCAAUAGAGAUGAAGAAAUAGGUAUAUGGAAAUUAAAUAAUUUUACAAAAUGUCAGCUAGUAACAGAACUGGAAUUCAACCCCAGGUUGCAAAUUAUAAAUCUGCAUUUGUCCACUACUUCUUAGCUACCCUGGGUCCUGAGUCUCUUCUUCUGCAGUUCUCAUCUUACUGCCCCUCCUAUCUUCCCCAGUGCCCGUGACUUCUCUGGAGCAUCUGAGUAGAGACUAGCUUCAACCCCAGCAGGCAGCUCACAUGCUUUGUUCUGAUGUCCAUCCCCACCUGCAGGUCAUUCCUGGAGAAGACCCUCUGAGAAACUAGAUCAGUCCCAGGCCGCAGGCACAUCCUGGAAAGAGAGAAUGAGAUAACGUCAGAGUUGGAAGUUAAAGAGCACCUCGGCGCCAACAAAUAGAACCAUAGACUUCUUGGGACUCAGUGGUACCCUUGGCAGGCAGAGGGAAGCAGUGGAAACUCCAGUCAGGACCAAAGGAGGUCCCCAUGGACACCUGAUGAAGAAAUGGGGACUCCUUGAGGCCCAAGGGAGGUUAAGUUGCUUGCCCAAGGACACACAAAUAAUAAGAAACCUUCAAGGAUUAAGACGUUGGGACUCUGGAUGCACGUAUCUUUAAAGAGAUAGCAAAGAUCCUAUCAUCUGUAAGAGCCUUCCAACUUGUUGGUGGAGAUCUUGUUUUCUUCUCCAUACACUCCCUUGGAGCGUGGAUAGUGGUUUGUUACUGUUUCCUAGUGGGGAUAGAAUCUACAGACUCAGUGGCCCCAGAGUUCUUCAGACCACCCUUAUAGUUUAGAGCAGGCUUUCUUCUAUUGAAUCCCCAACUACCUAUGGCUUGGAGGGGCUUGCCUGUUAGGAUCCUGGAGAUUUUGAGUGUCUCAGCUUCCCGAGGCAGAGCAAGAGGGGAUGAUGUCAUGAAGAAGGUUUUCUGCAAAUAGGUGACUUGCGGCGCUUUCCCCUUCACCCCAAUGCCCACCCCCUGCUACUCACCGUUUAGCAUCAAUGAAGC